rnacentral:rRNA from 1 species
AACCCUAAUUAAUAGAGUUACGGCGUAAAACGUGUUUAAGAUACCUAAUAAACUAAAGUCAAACCCUAACUAUGCUGUAAAAAGCCACAGCUACUGUAAGACCCGUAACGAAAGUAACUUUACUAUUUAUCUGAACACACGAUAGCUAAGACCCAAACUGGGAUUAGAUACCCCACUAUGCUCAGCCCUAAACCUAAAUAAUUAUAAUAACAAAAUUCUUUGCCAGAGUACUACUAGCUAAAGCUUAAAACUCAAAGGACUUGGCGGUGCUUUAUAUCCCUCUAGAGGAGCCUGUUCUAUAAUCGAUAAACCCCGAUAAACCUCACCAAUCCUUGCCAAUA